AGUAAUUAUGUUGUAAAAAUGAUUAACGGGAAACGACCGCACUCACCCUCUCCGUACAGGAACGGAACGAACGGGAGUUCGAACGGUUCCAACGGUUCCGGGGGGUACGGGCACCAAGCCGAGGAUAAAUCUCUGGCCCAGACCCGACGAAACCUACCAAUAUUUCCAGCAAAGAAAAGAUUUCUUGAAGAAGCAACCAAACAUAAUACCGUAAUUUUAUUGGCUGAGACGGGUACAGGGAAAACCACACAGGUUCCUCAGUUUAUCCAUGAAGCACGGUUGGAUAGAGAGGGAUGUAUUGCUAUAACACAACCCAGACGAGUAGCAGCAAUAUCCUUAUCUAAACGUGUAGCCCAGGAAACCCAGACAGAACCUGGUGGUCUUGUGGGAUACAGGGUUAGAUUUGAAGAUGUGACAAGUAAUAGUACUAAGAUACUCUUCCUCACUGAUGGAAUGCUUCUCCGCGAAGCAAUGGUUGAUCCUUCCCUCUCAAGGUAUACUUGGAUAAUAUUGGAUGAGGCUCAUGAACGGACUGUAAACACUGAUAUAUUGUUUGUUAGGUAUACUUGGAUAAUAUUGGAUGAGGCUCAUGAACGGACUGUGAACACUGAUAUAUUGUUUGGUGUUGUUAAAACUGCGCAGAAGGAAAGAAGACCAGGGCAAAACUCAGAUCUUUCUCCAUUAAGGGUGGUUGUGAUGUCUGCUACAGUAGAUGCGGACAGGUUUGCUCAGUACUGGCAUUGUCCUGUUCUAUAUAUAGAGGGUAGACAGUUUCCAGUUAAUAUUAGACAUAUAAGCCAACCGACUGAUGACUGGCAGCGGAGUAUGAUGUCGACAAUAUUUCAAAUACACUCCACAGCUCCUGAGAGAGAGGACAUACUUGCUUUUAUGACAGGUCAAGAGGAAAUAGAAACAGCAGCGCGGCAAGCACGUAUGCUUGCGCGUGAGUAUCCGAACGCUCCUCGGCUGGUUGUGUGCACCCUUUACGCUGCUCAGUCUUGUGAUAUUCAACAGAAUGCUCUGCGGCCAACACAGGCUGGAGGCAGGAAACUGGUCCUUGCAACCAAUAUUGCGGAGACAAGUUUAACCAUCCCUGGAAUAAAACACGUGGUGGACUCCUGUAGGGUUAAAGCUAAGGCCCACCAGGCUAAAGUUGGACUAGACAUGCUGAAGGUUGUGAAAGUGUCCCAGGCUCAGGCCCUGCAGAGGACAGGUCGAGCUGGCCGGGAGAGGGAUGGAGACUGCUAUAGACUACUCACUAAAGUAGAGUAUGAUCAACUACCUAGAGCAACGGUUCCAGAGAUAUUGAGAUCUAACCUGGCCAGCACAAUUCUAACAAUGAUGAAUAUAGGUAUUAAAGAUGUUCCUAGUUUUGAUUUCAUGGAUCCUCCUAAACCUGACAGUUUAAACUCCGCCCUUCGUCAGCUGUCUCUCCUUGGAGCUGUUGAACUAAGUGGAGGAGGGACAAGGCUUACCCAGCUGGGGGAGAAAAUGGCAGGAUUCCCUCUAGAUCCAAGAUUUACCAACUGUCUGUUGUCUGCAGAACAGCUAGGAUGUACGGAGGAAAUGUUGUCUAUUGUAUCCUUGCUCACUGCAGAGAAUGUUUUUCAGGUUCCAGGGCCCCGGGAUAAACGGGAGGAAGCGGACAUGGUACAUAAGAAGUUUGCUACUAGCGAAGGAGAUCUAAUAACUUUAUUAAAUGUGUGGAGAGCAUAUAGGAAUGGUCCUAAGACCCCGGGUUGGUGCAGAAGCCAGUUCUUGAUUCCCCGACAUCUGACCUUUGCUCAGGAUGUCAGGAAACAACUUGUCGGGAUCUGUCAUAACGCCGGUGUUGCUAUACAAUCCUGUAGAGAUAUGGAAGUAGUGCGGCAAGCAGUAGCUCGUGGACUCUUCAUGAAUGUUGCACAGCUCAGUGCUGAGGGUCAUUAUGUUGCACUGGACAGUGGUCAACACGUUCAUAUUCAUCCUAGUAGUGUUCUCUUCAGGAAGAAACCUGAGAUUGUAACCUAUACAGAGAUGGUGGCAACUAAUAAAACCUAUAUAAGAGGACUAACUAUUGUAUCAGAGGAAUGGUUGAGUGAACAUCAAGCAGACUAUUUCAGGAGUCACAGAAUUACAAGAUGAAGAAAUAUCUUCUUCAGAAUUGGAACAUUUCAGAUUCCAUCGAUUUGAUUUCACAUGUGAUAUUUAAAUUUGCAUAUUGUACUUUUUACUUGAAUAUUAGGUUUUGUAAAAUAAGGAUUUGGCAACAAAAUCUCAUUGAAAUAUGAAACAUAAGAUUGGAACUUUUGUGAAGAUCAUUAACCCUUAAUCUCGAUAUCCAACGUCUGAACAAGGUCAAAUCUUGAUUCAGAGAUUCUCAACACAAAAAUUCUAAUUUUUGAAGGAUAUAUAAAAAACAGCAAAUCUUUUCUAACAUUUAUAUGUAAUUGCACCUUUUUCUUUCUAAAAUGACUUACCCAGUCUGUCAUCAACUUUAAAAUUUACCUCAUAGAAGGAACAAACUGUUCCCUUUCAGUCAUCAGCGAUCGAUAUUGUUAAUUUUUUUCUAGAAAAAAA
rnacentral:misc_RNA from 1 species